ACUUCAAAUUCUAGAAUCUUUGGAGCCAUAUUGUGAGAUAAUUAAAUGAUUGACAGCAACGCUAGUCAGGCCAGCAGGGAUUAUAAUGCAAUUACCACCAUAAUGUCAAUAAAGGUAUCAGGGUCAUCUAUGGGGUGCUUUUCAGGGUGAUUGCUAUUUGAAGAAGAGCUGGUUCUGUCCUGUCUGUGCUCUUUGGAGGCAGAGUUCUUGGAAUUCCUCCGUAGUCCUAUCUGAUGACAUGCUAACCUCAUACUUCUUAGUUACAGCAAAGCUGCUCCACACUCAGCUGCCUGAUGUGCUUCAUUUCAUGUCUCAGGCAUUGCUGGGAUGUUAUUGAUACUCACUUGUAGGAAAAGAAUUUUUUAAACAUGAAUAAAAAAUUUGGAGGGACUGCUAGGCAGGGAUUUGAUUUCUUGUGUGCCCU
rnacentral:lncRNA from 1 species